AGUAUACCCUAAUAAUCUUAUAUCAAGAUUCAUUUGGGUAUUAUGAUUUCUACUUGUAUAGGAAGAUCUGAUGC